UAAUUAGAUGUCCGCCCCAUCAAUUGCGAUGGUAAGGUAGUGGCUUACCAUGGUUGCAACGGGUAACGGGGAAUCAGGGUUCGAUUCCGGAGAGGGAGCAUGAGAAACGGCUGCCAGAUCUAUGGAUUGCAGCAGGUGCGAAAAUUAUCCACUUUUGGCAUAAAGAGAUAGUGAUGAUAAAUAACGGAUCUGGGCAUUUGUUCAGAGAUCGUAAUGAAAUAAUCGUAAAAGCUUUAUUGAAAGCAAUUGGAGGGCAAGUCUGGUGCCAGCAGCCGCGGCAAUUCCAGUUCCAAUAGUGUAUACUAAAGUUGCUGCAGUUGAAAAGCUCGUAGUUGGAUCUCGGUUUGCUGGCGCACAAGGUGCGCAAGUAGGCCUGUGCUGUAGUUGAGUGCUACGGCUUUACCUUGAACAAAAUAGAGUGCUUAAGGCAAGCAUUCUGCUUGAAUAUCUCAGCAUGGAAUAAUAGAAAAAGACUUUCUAUUGGUUAGCCAGUGAAAGUAAUGAUUAACAGAGACAGACGGGGGCAUUCGUAUUGCACCGCUAGAGGUGAAAUUCGUAGACCGGUGCAGGACGAACUACAGCGAAAGCAUUUGCCAAGGAUGUUUUCAUUAAUCAAGAACGACAGUUGGAGUAUCGAAGUCGAUUAGAUCUCGUCGUAGUUCCAACUAUAAACGAUGCCAACUAGCACUCCGCUAAUAAUGUUUGUUACAUUAGCGGGUGGCUUCCGGGAAACCAAAGUCUUUGGGCUCCGGGGGAAGUAUGGUUGCAAAGCUGAAACUUAAAGGAAUUGACGGAAGGGCACCACCAGGAGUGGAGCCUGCGGCUCAAUUUGACUCAACACAGAAAAACUCACCCGGGCCGAACACAGUAAGGAUUGACAGAUUGAUAGCUUUUUCUUGAUACUGUGGGUAGUGGUGCAUGGCCGUUGUUGGUUGGUGGAGUGAUCUGUCUGGUUAAUUCCGAUAACGAACGAGACUCAAGCCUGCUUAUAAGUUGGUCGAUUCUGGUCGAACAACUACUUAGAGGGAUCAGUGUAUAAAACACUUGAAAAUGAGCAAUAACAGGUCUGUGAUUGCCCUUAGACGUUCGGGGCUGCACGCGCGCUACAAUGAAGAAAGCAGUGGGUGACUUGCUUGAGAAGGCAAGCCAAACCUAAAAUUCUCGGCGUCGCAGGAAUCGAGGCUUGUAAUUAUUCCUCGUGCACAAGGA
rnacentral:rRNA from 1 species